rnacentral:rRNA from 1 species
UCUACGGGAGGCAGCAGUGGGGAAUAUUGGACAAUGGGCGCAAGCCUGAUCCAGCCAUGCCGCGUGUGUGAAGAAGGCCUUCGGGUUGUAAAGCACUUUUGUCCGGAAAGAAAAGCAUUCGGUUAAUAACCGGGUGUCCUGACGGUACCGGAAGAAUAAGCACCGGCUAACUUCGUGCCAGCAGCCGCGGUAAUACGAAGGGUGCAAGCGUUACUCGGAAUUACUGGGCGUAAAGCGUGCGUAGGUGGUUCGUUAAGUCUGAUGUGAAAGCCCUGGGCUCAACCUGGGAAUGGCAUUGGAUACUGGCGAUCUAGAGUGCGGUAGAGGGGUGCGGAAUUCCCGGUGUAGCAGUGAAAUGCGUAGAUAUCGGGAGGAACAUCUGUGGCGAAGGCGGCACCCUGGACCAGCACUGACACUGAGGCACGAAAGCGUGGGGAGCAAACAGGAUUAGAUACCCUGGUAGUCCACGCCCUAAACGAUGCGAACUGGAUGUUGGGGGCAACUUGGCCCUCAGUAUCGAAGCUAACGCGUUAAGUUCGCCGCCUGGGAAGUACGGUCGCAAGACUGAAACUCAAAGGAAUUGACGGA